AAAAACUCCAAAGCAUCCAGGCAAUGGUGGUUCACUCCUUUAAUCCCAGCACUUGGGAGGGAGGCAGGGCUAGGUGUAUUGUGCGUUUGAGGCCAGCCUGGUCUACAGAGCAAGUUCCAAAACAGCCAAGGCUAUAUAGGCUAUAAACCCUGUCUUGGAAAAAAAAAACACUCAUACAUAUUCACACACAGCACACAAACACACCACAGAUACACAUACAUCACAUACACACUCAUACACACACUCAUACACACUCACACACAGCACACAAACACACCACAGAUACACAUACAUCACACACUCACACACACACCACAGAUACACAUACAUCACACAAACACACACACUCACAUGUAGCACACAAACACACCACAGAUACACAUACAUCACACAAACACAGCACAGAUACACAUGCAUCACAUACUCACACACACACACUCAUACACACUCACACACAGCACACAAACACACCACAGAUACACAUACAUCACACACACACACCCACAGAUACACAUACAUCACACACAGCACACAAACACACCACAGAUACAUAUACUUCACACACACACACAGCACAGAUACACAUACAUCACACACUCACACACACACUCAUACACACUCACACACAGCACACAAACACACCACAGAUAUACAUACAUCACACAUUCACACACACACUCAUACACACUCACACACAGCACACAAACACACCACAGAUACACAUACAUCACAUACACACUCUCACACACACCACAUAUACACAUACAUCACACACUCACACUUGCACACAAAUACACCACAGAUACACAUACAUCACACACUCACACAUACACUCAUACACACUCACACACAGCACACAAACACACCACAGAUACACAUACAUCACACACACACACAGAGCACACAAACACACCACAGAUACACAUACAUCACAUACACACACACUCAUACACACUCAUACACACACACACACACACAGAUGCACAUACAGCACACACAGCACACAAACACACCACAGAUACAUAUACUUCACACACACACACACACCACAGAUAUACAUCACAUACACACUCAUACAUACACUCAUACAGACUCAC
rnacentral:lncRNA from 1 species